rnacentral:rRNA from 1 species
GAGGACGCUCACCACUUUGUGGUUCAUGACUGGGGUGAAGUCGUAACAAGGUAGCCCUAGGGGAACCUGGGGCUGGAUCACCUCCUUAACGAUAGAU